rnacentral:ribozyme from 1 species
AAAGAAAAAAAGAAGAAAAUGGCAAGAGUCCUGGAAGAGAAAGAAAGGAGAUUGCGUUUCUCCACAUGUCUUGUGUGUUGUUCUUUUGCCUUUUCUUCUUUCG